AGGAGUGUAGCUCAAUUGGUAGAGUGCCGGUCUCCAAAACCGGAGGUUGAGGGUUCGAGUCCCUCCGCUCCUGCCA
rnacentral:tRNA from 1 species